UACGAAGGGUGCAAACGUUGCUCGGAAUUAUUGGGCGUAAAGCGCGCGUAGGCGGCUUGGCAAGUCGGAUGUGAAAUCCCUCGGCUCAACCAAGGAAGUGCAUCCGAAACUGCUGAGCUUGAGUACUUAAGAGGAUCGCGGAAUUCCCGGUGUAGAGGUGAAAUUCGUAGAUAUUAGGAAGAACACCAGUGGCGAAGGCGGCUCACUGGUCCGGUACUGACGCUGAGGUGCGAAAGCGUGGGGAGCAAACAGG
rnacentral:rRNA from 1 species